rnacentral:rRNA from 1 species
AUGUCGCGCGUCAAGUUGGAGUUGAUCAGAUGGAAUGUUCGAGGUUUGAACAGUCCGACUAAGCGGAAGGCGUUGAGAGAGUUUGUAGAUUCCAGUAGGCCGACAAUUCUUUGUAUCCAGGAGUCUAAACUCGAGUUUGUAUACCAGUUUAUUAUUUUGCAAUGUUGUGGCCCAUCCUAUGAUGGGUUUGCGUACUUGCCGUCUGUUGGGACUCGAGGUGGCAUCAUACUGGCAUGGGACUCAUCAGUUAUUGGCAUAUCUAACUGUGUGCGGGAUAGCAACUCUGUCACGGCUUACGUUGCACCUAUGGAUGGAGCGCCCUGGUGGCUCUCAGUCGUCUACGGGCCUCAGGAUGAUGGCGAGAAGAUUCAAUUCUUGGAGGAGCUUACGGCCAGAAGAUUGCUCUGUCCGGGUCCUUGGCUAGUAAUUGGUGAUUUCAACUUAAUACUACAGGCCUCUGACAAGAGUAACUCUCUCCUAGAUAGGCGUAUGAUGAGCAGAUUCAGAAGAUUUGUCGAUGAUAAUGGUCUGAAGGAGCUCUUUCUCCACGGCCGGCUUUUUACUUGGUGCAACGAGAGAGAGGUGCCCACCAUGACUAAAAUUGACCGAGCUUUCGUCUCGGUUGAUUGGGAACUAGAUCAUCCUGAUUGUCUGCUGCAGGCUUUGUCCACAGCUACAUCAGAUCAUUGCCCACUUCAUCUGGCUUUGGACGAUCACCUUCACCCGCAUAGGAGAUUCCAAUUUGAGUCUUUUUGGACUAAAUUGGACGGGUUUGAGGAAGCAGUGGAGGAAGCCUGGAAGUGCGAUCCGGAGAUCACAUAA